rnacentral:rRNA from 1 species
AUGGCGGCGGCCGCGGGCACAUCGAGGCAGGCGGGCGCGGCGCCCAGGGUGGGGCUGCUGUACGACCAGCGGAUGCUGAAGCACGCGCCUGCCGGGAAGAAAGAACGGGAGACCCCCGAGCGGCUACGCGCCAUCUGGCGCAAGCUCGCCGCCGAGGGCGUCACGUCCAGGUGUGUGGGCAUGAGGGCGAAGGAAGCCAAGGAAAAAUAUAUAGCCUCUGUCCAUGGCCCGAAUCACAUAGAUCUGAUAAGGAAUAUCAGCUCGAAGGAUAGUUCCGAGCGAAAAAAUACUGCUGAGAAACUCGAUUCCAUUUACUUCAACAAAGGCUCCUCAGAGUCUGCUUUCCUCGCAGCCGGUUCUGUCAUCGAGGUUGCUGAGAAGGUUGCAGCUGGUGAGCUGAGUUCUGCGAUCGCUCUAGUCAGGCCUCCAGGCCACCAUGCCGAACAUAGCAAGCCCAUGGGAUUUUGCCUCUUCAACAAUGUGGCAAUUGCAGCUAACUACCUCUUAAAUGAAAGGCCUGACCUAGGUAUCAGCAAGAUAUUAAUCGUCGAUUGGGAUGUUCAUCAUGGAAAUGGCACGCAGAACAUGUUUUAUAAUGACCCUCGUGUAUUGUUCUUUUCAGUGCACAGAUAUGAUGAUGGAAGCUUCUACCCUUAUGAAGCUGAUGCAUCACACGUUUUCAUUGGGGAUGAAACUGGUCGAGGGUACAACAUUAAUGUGCCCUGGGAGCAUGCGGAAUGCGGUGAUGCAGAUUAUGUUGCUGCAUGGGACCAUGUACUCCUUCCUGUUGCAGAAGCAUUUGAUCCUGAUAUAAUAUUACUGUCUGCUGGGUUUGACGCAGCACUGGGUGAUGAUAUGGGUAAUUGCUGCAUCACUCCAAAUGGAUAUGCACUGCUACUGACAAAGCUGUUAGGUUUUGCAAAAGGAAGGAUUGUGAUGGCCCUUGAAGGAGGUUAUAACCCUGAGUCCAUAGCAAACUCAGUUUGUGCUUGUGCAAAAGUAUUGUUGGGAGAUAAAUUCACACUUACCUCUCCAGAGAUGCAACCAUUCGAAUCUACAUGGAGAGUCAUACAAAUGGUACGCGAUGAAUUAAAGACAUACUGGCCUGUUUUGAGCAGUAAGCUUCCGGAGAACGUAUCUUUGAGGAGUACGCCCUCAUAUAUCCAGCCAUGCACUUCCUCUGGUUCUGAGUGA